AUGACUUUGAUCUGCGUCCUCAUCUGGACUCUCCUCUGCUGCUGCUUCACAGAGUCCAGAGGACAGAUCACAGUGACUCAGCCUGGAGCAGUGAGCUCUGCUGUGGGAGGAACUGUGAGCAUCAAGUGUACGACCAGUCAGAAUGUUUAUGUUUCUGGCAGCGCUCACUGUUUAGCCUGGUACCAACAGAAAGAUGGAGAAACUCCCAAACGUCUUAUUUACUACACUAGCAGUCGACAAUCAGGGAUUCCAGAUCGUUUUACAGGCAGUGGAUCAAACUCUGACUUCACUCUGACCAUCAGUGGAGUCCAGGCUGAAGAUGCAGCAGUUUAUUACUGUCAGAGUUAUCACAGUGGAACUGUAUUGACGUUCGGUGGAGGAACCAGACUGCAAGUUGGAAGUGAUGCCCGUCCCGUCCUGACAGUGUUGCCCCCCUCCAGUGAGGAGCUACAGCAGGGGACUGCAACAAUCACAUGUCUGGCCAACAAGGGCUUCCCCUCAGACUGGAGUCUGUCCUGGAAGGUGGAUGGCAGUGGCAGCAUCAGCUGGGAGGAGAGCAGGAGCCCCGGGGCACUGCAGAAUGACGGCCACUACAGCUGGAGCAGCACCCUGAGGCUCCCUGCAGACCAGUGGGAGAAGGUGGGCUCUGUGACCUGUGAGGCCACCCAGGGCUCCCACACUCCACUCUCAGAGACUCUGAUGACAGACCAGUGUUCCCAGUCCUGAGCUGACUCACUGGGACUCUGAUACUGGCUUUAGUCUGCAGCUUCUCUCAGUCUGCUCCCUCUGUGUCUGUAUUGCUUUGAUAGUUUUCAUGUUUUCAUGCUUGUGGCACUGUUGAUGGUUUUAAUACUUCAAAUAAAAACUGAGGUCUUCAAA